GCUGUCACGAGCCCGAUGUGGUCAAGUGGUAUGAGUACAAAUCCCUUGGCGGCGUGUGUUUUGUUUGACCGAACCCGAUAGGCCGAAUGCCGAUAUAGUCAGUCUCUAACCAUGCUGCAGGGAAGAUGCGAACCACACUGGUCCACUACUUCUGCCACCAGGUGACAUCUGGCAGCUCUGAGGUUGCAUCCUCACUGUGCUUCAUGAACCUCAUUCCCAACACGAACAUCAGCUGCAGUGACAGAGGCGUGCAUCGAGUCUGUGCGGCCUGCCCGGGAACGUAGCCAUGGCUGCCGGGCGGGCCCCGUCUCUCGCUACCCGGCCAGCCAGUCGAGCCUCACCGAGCCCCGCCGGACUGCCCGGGCCCGCACGGAUGCUUGUGAGGCUUGGUUGUCUGUCAAGUCUCACACCCGCCAGCCACUGCACUGCUGCAGAUGCGACUGACAUCUUUGUGACAGUCAGCAAGUAGUUUUCUUCUUCUGCACAUUAUGUACCGACACACAACUUCACCUCUGAUCUUAUAGAAAAUUAACUGUAAUGCCUGGAACAGCGUGAUUCCUUAAAUCUGCUGUGUUGCUUGUAGUUGGUAAACCAGUAUAUUGUUACACACUUGUAAUAAAAAAAAAACUAAUAAUCGAAUUUUUCAAUACAUAACGAGGAAAGGGCCAAUAUUUAAAACUUUUUA